UUCAUAAUUUUUUUUUUCAUCAUCUUCAAAAACCCAAUUUUUUUUUCUUUCAAAAAUUCAUCACCACACAGAUUUUCGUGCUCCUAGUUCUUUCAGUAUCAUCUUUAUCAAUUUUCAUACAAAAAUUGAAUCAAAGCUAAAAUUAAAAACACAGCUUAAAUUCAACAUCAAAUUAUGCUUUUAAAACCCCAAUCUUCAUGUCUUCCAUAACUCAGAUCUACUCCUUCUAAUUCUAAUUCCAAUUCCAAACUGCUUGCCACAAUAACUCGCAAAUCACUGUUCUGCACUCAUCUAACUCGCUAUUCACUGUUCUGAGAUAUGGGUUUUGCAAGAAAUGACGAUUUCGCUCCAUAAUCUCAUCUGGGUCGUGCUUAUUUUCACCUUCUCAUAUGGGUCGUGCUUAUUUUCACCUUCUCAACCAUGGGGUUUCAAGCAGCCGCCGCAAGGAACGUGAAGGGAAGGUUGUGCAAGUUUAUGGCAGGAAAUGGGUGAUUCAUAUUGAGAGUAUAACUCGUGAGGAUUUGUUUGUGUUAUUGUUGAUUAUUCAAACUGUUGAUUAGUGAAUUUGUUUGAAACUUGAUUUUGUUGGUGGUUUGAAUGUUUUGUGGUUUAGAUGACCUAUUUUAGAAUUUGAGAAGUUUAUGAUUUUUGAUUUAGAUCUGAAUUAAUUUUGAAUGGUUUAGAUUGAAUUAUUUUUGAUUCA